rnacentral:rRNA from 1 species
AUGAACGCUAGCGGCAGGCUUAAUACAUGCAAGUUGAGGGCAGCAUGAUAUACGCGAGUAUAUUGGAUGGCGACGGCGGACGGGUGAGUAAUAGGUAGGAGACCUACCUCAUACAGGGGGAUAGCAUAGAGAAAUCUGUGGUAAUACCCCAUGAAGGUUUAUAUGAAUAGAGGCAUAUAAUCAAAGCAUAAGCGAUUAUGCGGUAUGAGAGGGGCCUACUGACCAUUAGCUAGUUGGUGAGGUAAGGGCUCACCAAGGCGAAGAUGGUUAGGGGUUUUGAGAGAGAGACCCCCCACAUUGGAACUGAGAGACGGUCCAGACUCCUACGGGAGGCAGCAGUAGGGAAUAUUGGGCAAUGGGCGAAAGCCUGACCCAGCCAUGCCGCGUGAAGGAAGACGGCCUUAUGGGUUGUAAACUUCUUUACUACGCGAAUAGAGGUUAGUACGAGAUACUAAUAGGAAGGUAGUGUAGUAAAAAGCACCGGCUAACUCCGUG